rnacentral:tRNA from 1 species
CGGGUGUAGUUUAGUGGUAAAACUCCAGCCUUCCAAGCUGAUGUUGUGGGUUCGAUUCCCAUCGCCC